GGACGGUUAGCUCAGCUGGUUAGAGCGCGUCGUUUACACCGACGAGGCCGCAGGUUCAAAUCCUGCACCGUCCA
rnacentral:tRNA from 1 species